UACGGAGGGUGCAAGCGUUGUUCGGAAUUACUGGGCGUAAAGCGCACGUAGGCGGGUCUACAUGUCGCUUGUGAAAUCCCCGGGCUUAACCUGGGAAUUGCAGUCGAAACGGUAGAUCUUGAAUGCUUGAGAGGAUGGCGGAAUUCCUGGUGUAGUAGUGAAAUACGUAGAUAUCAGGAAGAACACCCGAGGCGAAGGCGGCUAUCUGGUGACGCAUUGACGCUGAGGUGCGAAAGCGUGGGGAGCAAACAGG
rnacentral:rRNA from 1 species